rnacentral:rRNA from 1 species
ACGUAUGAAGCAAGCGUUGUUCGGAAUUAUUGGGCGUAAAGGGCAUCUAGGCGGGAUGUUAAGUCAGGUGUGAAAGCCAAUGGCUCAACCCUUGAACUGCAUUUGAUACUGACAUUCCUGAGUUCGGAAGAGGAAGGCGGAAUUCCCGGUGUAGCGGUGAAAUGCGUAGAUAUCGGGAAGAACACCGGUGGCGAAGGCGGCCUUCUGGUCUAGAACUGACGCUGACAUGCGAAAGUGUGGGGAUCAAACGG